rnacentral:rRNA from 1 species
UGCAGUCGUACGCUUCUUUUUCCACCGGAGCUUGCUCCACCGGAAAAAGAGGAGUGGCGAACGGGUGAGUAACACGUGGGUAACCUGCCCAUCAGAAGGGGAUAACACUUGGAAACAGGUGCUAAUACCGUAUAACAAUCGAAACCGCAUGGUUUUGAUUUGAAAGGCGCUUUCGGGUGUCGCUGAUGGAUGGACCCGCGGUGCAUUAGCUAGUUGGUGAGGUAACGGCUCACCAAGGCCACGAUGCAUAGCCGACCUGAGAGGGUGAUCGGCCACAUUGGGACUGAGACACGGCCCAAACUCCUACGGGAGGCAGCAGUAGGGAAUCUUCGGCAAUGGACGAAAGUCUGACCGAGCAACGCCGCGUGAGUGAAGAAGGUUUUCGGAUCGUAAAACUCUGUUGUUAGAGAAGAAUAAGGAUGAGAGUAACUGUUCAUCCCUUGACGGUAUCUAACCAGAAAGCCACGGCUAACUACGUGCCAGCAGCCGCGGUAAUACGUAGGUGGCAAGCGUUGUCCGGAUUUAUUGGGCGUAAAGCGAGCGCAGGCGGUUUCUUAAGUCUGAUGUGAAAGCCCCCGGCUCAACCGGGGAGGGUCAUUGGAAACUGGGAGACUUGAGUGCAGAAGAGGAGAGUGGAAUUCCAUGUGUAGCGGUGAAAUGCGUAGAUAUAUGGAGGAACACCAGUG